CUGUAAAUGGCAGGUUAGGUCUAACGGACUGAGCCAUAGCGAAAGCGAGUGUGAAUAGCGCGUACGUCGUUUGCAGUGGACCCGAAGCUAGGUGAGCUACCCUUGAGCAGGCUGAACCUCGUAGAAAUACGAGGGGAGGGCCGAACCGGUGAAUCGUGCAACGUUCUCGGAUGACUUGAGGGUUGGAGUGAAAAGCUUAUCGAACUUAGUAAUAGCUGGUUCUCUCCGAAACAGCUUUUGGGUUGGCGUCGCGUGUUCCUUCUGGGGGUAGAGCACUGGAAGGUCUUGAGAGGUAGCAAUACCCCAAGAUCUAUCAAACUCCGAAUACCAGAAGUUAAGAGCGCGGCAGUUAGGCGGUGGGGCGAAGCUCCACUCGCCAAAAGGGAAACAGCCUAGAUCGUCGGUUAAGGUCCCUAAAUCUAUGCUCAGUGCACUUAAGGAUGUGUUGUUCCUUUGACAGUGAGGAGGUUGGCUUAGAAGCAGCCACCCUUUAAAGAUAGCGUAACAGCUCACUCACUCAGGGACGAUGCCG
rnacentral:rRNA from 1 species